rnacentral:rRNA from 1 species
UACAGAGGUCUCAAGCGUUUGUUCGGAUUCAUUGGGCGUAAAGGGUGCGUAGGUGGCGCCGUAAGUCAGGUGUGAAAUUUCGGAGCUUAACUCCGAAACUGCAUUUGAUACUGCGGUGCUUGAGGACUGGAGAGGAGACUGGAAUUCACGGUGGUAGCAGUGAAAUGCGUAGAUAUCGUGAGGAAGACCAGUGGCGAAGGCGGGUCUCUGGACAGUUCCUGACACUGAGGCAACGAAGGCUAGGGGAGCAAACGGG